rnacentral:rRNA from 1 species
GAUGAACGCUGGCGGCGUGCUUAACACAUGCAAGUCGAACGAGAAGUGGAGACGGACACCUUCGGGCGGAAGGCUUUAUUUCGAGUGGCGGACGGGUGAGUAACGCGUGGGUAACCUGCCUCAUACAGGGGGAUAACAGUUGGAAACGACUGUUAAUACCGCAUAAGACCACAGCACCGCAUGGUGCGGGGGUAAAAACUCCGGUGGUAUGAGAUGGACCCGCGUUCGAUUAGCCAGUUGGCGGGGUAACGGCCCACCAAAGCGACGAUCGAUAGCCGAUCUGAGAGGAUGACCGGCCACAUUGGGACUGAGACACGGCCCAAACUCCUACGGGAGGCAGCAGUGGGGAAUAUUGCACAAUGGGGGAAACCCUGAUGCAGCGACGCCGCGUGAGUGAAGAAGUAUUUCGGUAUGUAAAGCUCUAUCAGCAGGAAAGAAAAUGACGGUACCUGAGUAAGAAGCCCCGGCUAACUACGUG